rnacentral:rRNA from 1 species
AGAACGAACGCUGGCGGCAGGCCUAACACAUGCAAGUCGAACGCCCUAGCAAUAGGGAGUGGCAGACGGGUGAGUAACGCGUGGGAACCUUCCCAAUGGUACGGAAUAGCCCAGGGAAACUUGGAGUAAUACCGUAUAAUACCCGCAAGGGGAAAGAUUUAUCGCCAUUGGAUGGGCCCGCGUCGGAUUAGCUAGUUGGUGAGGUAAUGGCUCACCAAGGCGACGAUCCGUAGCUGGUCUGAGAGGAUGAUCAGCCACACUGGGACUGAGACACGGCCCAGACUCCACGGGAGCAGCAGGUGGGAAUAGUGGGCAAGUGGGCGCAAGCCUGACCCAGCCAUCGCCGCGUGAGUGACGACGGCCGUUAGGGUGUAAGUCGUUCGUUUUGGGCGGGACGAUAACGUGACCGGUACCGCAGAACUACGCCCCGCUUAACC